GGGUUGUGAGGUUAAGCGACUAAGCGUACACGGUGGAUGCCCUGGCAGUCAGAGGCGAUGAAGGACGUGCUAAUCUGCGAAAAGCGCCGGCGAGGUGAUAUGAACCCUUGACCCGGCGAUGUCCGAAUGGGGAAACCCAGUGUGAUUCGUCACACUAUCGUUAGCUGAAUACAUAGGCUAACGAGGCGAACCGGGGGAACUGAAACAUCUAAGUACCCCGAGGAAAAGAAAUCAACCGAGAUUCCCCCAGUAGCGGCGAGCGAACGGGGAGCAGCCCGGAGUCUGAAUCAGCUUGUGUGUUAGUGGAAGCGUCUGGAAAGUCGCAGGGUACAGGGUGAUACUCCCGUACACGAAAGCACACAUGCUGUGAACUCGAAGAGUAGGGCGGGACACGUGGUAUCCUGUCUGAAUAUGGGGGGACCAUCCUCCAAGGCUAAAUACUCCUGACUGACCGAUAGUGAACCAGUACCGUGAGGGAAAGGCGAAAAGAACCCCGGCGAGGGGAGUGAAAAAGAACCUGAAACCGUGUACGUACAAGCAGUGGGAGCACCUUCGGGUGUGACUGCGUACCUUUUGUAUAAUGGGUCAGCGACUUAUAUUCUGUAGCAAGGUUAACCGUAUAGGGGAGCCGGAGGGAAACCGAGUCUUAACUGGGCGUUAAGUUGCAGGGUAUAGACCCGAAACCCGGUGAUCUAGCCAUGGGCAGGUUGAAGGUUGGGUAACACUAACUGGAGGACCGAACCGACUAAUGUUGAAAAAUUAGCGGAUGACCUGUGGCUGGGGGUGAAAGGCCAAUCAAACCGGGAGAUAGCUGGUUCUCCCCGAAAGCUAUUUAGGUAGCGCCUCGUGAAUUCAUCCUCGGGGGUAGAGCACUGUUUCGGCUAGGGGGCCAUCCCGGCUUACCAACCCGAUGCAAACUGCGAAUACCGAGGAAUGUUAUCACGGGAGACACACGGCGGGUGCUAACGUCCGUCGUGAAGAGGGAAACAACCCAGACCGCCAGCUAAGGUCCCAAAGUCAUGGUUAAGUGGGAAACGAUGUGGGAAGGCACAGACAGCCAGGAUGUUGGCUUAGAAGCAGCCAUCAUUUAAAGAAAGCGUAAUAGCUCACUGGUCGAGUCGGCCUGCGCGGAAGAUGUAACGGGGCUAAACCAUGCACCGAAGCUGCGGCAGCGACACUAUGUGUUGUUGGGUAGGGGAGCGUUCUGUAAGCCUGCGAAGGUGUGCUGUGAGGCAUGCUGGAGGUAUCAGAAGUGCGAAUGCUGACAUAAGUAACGAUAAAGCGGGUGAAAAGCCCGCUCGCCGGAAGACCAAGGGUUCCUGUCCAACGUUAAUCGGGGCAGGGUGAGUCGACCCCUAAGGCGAGGCCGAAAGGCGUAGUCGAUGGGAAACAGGUUAAUAUUCCUGUACUCGGUGUUACUGCGAAGGGGGGACGGAGAAGGCUAUGUUGGCCGGGCGACGGUUGUCCCGGUUUAAGCAUGUAGGCGGAGGUUCCAGGUAAAUCCGGUACCUUUUAACGCUGAGGUGUGAUGACGAGGCACUACGGUGCUGAAGCAACAAAUGCCCUGCUUCCAGGAAAAGCCUCUAAGCAUCAGGUAACAUCAAAUCGUACCCCAAACCGACACAGGUGGUCAGGUAGAGAAUACCAAGGCGCUUGAGAGAACUCGGGUGAAGGAACUAGGCAAAAUGGUGCCGUAACUUCGGGAGAAGGCACGCUGAUAUGUAGGUGAAGCCCCUGCGGGUGGAGCUGAAAUCAGUCGAAGAUACCAGCUGGCUGCAACUGUUUAUUAAAAACACAGCACUGUGCAAACACGAAAGUGGACGUAUACGGUGUGACGCCUGCCCGGUGCCGGAAGGUUAAUUGAUGGGGUUAGCUGUAAGGCGAAGCUCUUGAUCGAAGCCCCGGUAAACGGCGGCCGUAACUAUAACGGUCCUAAGGUAGCGAAAUUCCUUGUCGGGUAAGUUCCGACCUGCACGAAUGGCGUAAUGAUGGCCAGGCUGUCUCCACCCGAGACUCAGUGAAAUUGAAAUCGCUGUGAAGAUGCAGUGUACCCGCGGCAAGACGGAAAGACCCCGUGAACCUUUACUAUAGCUUGACACUGAACACUGGUCCUUGAUGUGUAGGAUAGGUGGGAGGCUUUGAAGUGUGGACGCCAGUCUGCAUGGAGCCGUCCUUGAAAUACCACCCUUUAAUGGCUGGUGUUCUAACGUGGACCCGUUACCCGGGUUGCGGACAGUGUCUGGUGGGUAGUUUGACUGGGGCGGUCUCCUCCUAAAGAGUAACGGAGGAGCACGAAGGUCAGCUAAUCCUGGUCGGACAUCAGGAGGUUAGUGCAAUGGCAUAAGCUGGCUUGACUGCGAGAGUGACGGCUCGAGCAGGUGCGAAAGCAGGUCAUAGUGAUCCGGUGGUUCUGAAUGGAAGGGCCAUCGCUCAACGGAUAAAAGGUACUCCGGGGAUAACAGGCUGAUACCGCCCAAGAGUUCAUAUCGACGGCGGUGUUUGGCACCUCGAUGUCGGCUCAUCACAUCCUGGGGCUGAAGUAGGUCCCAAGGGUAUGGCUGUUCGCCAUUUAAAGUGGUACGCGAGCUGGGUUUAGAACGUCGUGAGACAGUUCGGUCCCUAUCUGCCGUGGGCGCUGGAGAAUUGAGGGGGGCUGCUCCUAGUACGAGAGGACCGGAGUGGACGCAUCACUGGUGUUCGGGUUGUCAUGCCAAUGGCACUGCCCGGUAGCUAAAUGCGGAAGAGAUAAGUGCUGAAAGCAUCUAAGCACGAAACUUGCCCCGAGAUGAGUUCUCCCUGACCCUUUAAGGGUCCUGAAGGAACGUUGAAGACGACGACGUUGAUAGGCCGGGUGUGUAAGCGCAGCGAUGCGUUGAGCUAACCGGUACUAAUGAACCGUGAGGCUUAACCUUACAACGCCGAAGCUGUU
rnacentral:rRNA from 1 species